CAAAUCAGGUAGGACUACCCGCUGAACUUAAGCAUAUCAAUAAGCGGAGGAAAAGAAACUAACAAGGAUUCCCCUAGUAACUGCGAGUGAAGCGGGAAAAGCUCAAAUUUAAAAUCUGGCGGUCUUUGGCCGUCCGAGUUGUAGUCUGGAGAAGCGUCUUCCGCGUUGGACCGUGUACAAGUCUCUUGGAACAGAGCGUCAUAGAGGGUGAGAAUCCCGUCUUUGACACGGACUACCAAUGCUUUGUGAUGCGCUCUCAAAGAGUCGCGUUGUUUGGGAAUGCAGCGCAAAAUGGGAGGUGAAUUCCUUCUAAAGCUAAAUAUUGGCGAGAGACCGAUAGCGAACAAGUACCGUGAGGGAAAGAUGAAAAGCACUUUGGAAAGAGAGUUAAACAGUACGUGAAAUUGCUAAAAGGGAAACGCUUGAAGUCAGUCGCGUCGUCCGGAACUCAGCUUUGCUUCGGCUUAGUGCACUUUCCGGUUGACGGGCCAGCAUCGAUUUUGACCGCUGGAAAAGGGCUGGAGGAAUGUGGCACCUUCGGGUGUGUUAUAGCCUUCAGUCGCAUACAGCGGUUGGGAUCGAGGAACGCAGCGCGCCUUAUGGCUGGGGUUCGCCCACAUUCGCGCUUAGGAUGCUGGCAUAAUGGCUUUAAACGACCCGUCUUGAAACACGGACCAAGGAGUCUAACAUGCCUGCGAGUGUUUGGGUGGAAAACCCGAGCGCGUAAUGAAAGUGAAAGUUGAGACCUCUGUCGUGGAGGGCAUCGACGCCCGGACCUGACGUUUUCUGAAGGAUCCGCGGUAGAGCAUGUAUGUUGGGACCCGAAAGAUGGUGAACUAUGCCUGAAUAGGGUGAAGCCAGAGGAAACUCUGGUGGAGGCUCGUAGCGAUUCUGACGUGCAAAUCGAUCGUCAAAUUUGGGUAUAGGGNCGAAAGACUAAUCGAACCAUCUAGUAGCU
rnacentral:rRNA from 1 species